GGCCUCCAGUGCUUACCACAGGCUGGAUUCUUAUACUGACUGUUCAGAAAGAGGAUGUAGAGUAAUUCACUCCAUAUUAGAAAGAAAAAAGGGAAAAAAGA
rnacentral:snoRNA from 1 species